AGACAGACAGCAAGCCAGCCUCUUCGAGGAAUCUCGGGUGAGCGGUGACUGCCAUGGAGAAAAGGGUAAGAGAUGACAUUCACGGCCGGAAGAUUUUACAGGAACAACGACAGAGAAAGAAGCAGUCAUAGUGAGGGGACCUAGGAGGAACCCACGCCACAUCCAAGCCCACGGUGCCGAGGUAACCGGGGCUAGCACCCCGACCCAGGCAGCGGCCGGAGAAGCAAAUCUUCUCCGAGGCAGGAGCACUCCGGGUCCGUCUGUGGUUCGCCACUGGUCCCUAAAUUAAACACCUGGGAAACAUAGAGCACAUAAUUGGUCUGGCAAGGAGCCCAGGCUUUGGGCUGUUUUUAACUCCCCCUCAGGAAAUUUUGCAUGUUCAGCCUGGGGAAAGAGCUAAGAAGCUGAAAGUAGGCUCUGAGAGGAUUGGCCCAGCCGUGUUGCAGGCGACAGAGCCAGAAGAAGGCAGAGCGAGCCUUGAGAAUUUGAGUCUGAAUGAACAAGGAAAAACCAUCAACCAAGUGAACCUCCCAAGAUCUGACUGGCUGUUAUUAGUGGCUCAUCCAUUGGAUGACAUCAUGUCUACAAAACAGAGGGAUGCUCCAUGAGCGAAGCUAACAGGCAAGUUUUGUUGGCAGAAUGGCUGAAGAGAUACAAAACAGAAAACAGAAACUGCGGUGGUUUGAAUGGGCUGCCUCCCCUCCCCCUGAGUCUCUGGCACUUGAAUGCUCGGUCCCAGUUGGUGACUGGGGAGGAUUAGGAGGCGUGGCCUUGCUGGAAGAAGUGUGUCACUUGGAGCGGCUUGAUGGAUUCAAGAGACUCGACAUAAUGAGUCGACUCUCUCUGCCUGGUGCUUGUGGUCCGAGGUGUGAGCUCUCAGCUGCUCUGGUCACCUGCUGCCUGCUGCCUCUGCUCCACCGUCAUGGACUCUAACUCUCUGGAACCGCCGUCUUUGUGCCUUGACUUCACCCUCUGGAACAUGAAGCUAAGAACGGUGUCCAUCUUUGGAGAAUUCUGUGGGCGCUGAAUGAUUCUCUCUCAUCGGGAUGAAGACACGCCAUUCUCAUUUUGUUUGUCAUUAUCCUUCACAGAAACAUUUCCCAAAUCUACCUAUCUCCAUCUUUAUUUGCACAGCACCAGGCCAAGCCACCAUAUAUGGCCGGAAGUUCUGCAACGGUCUCCUUUGGCAGAUACCUGUUACCCACUCCCUACAGAAACUGCUGUCAUGCCAAAGCCACAGAGAUGAGCCGAGAGUACAGUGCAAGCCAUGCCACUCUUCUGCUUAAAACUAUCUGUUGAUUCCUUCUCCGUGGCAUUUAGAAUAAAAUCCCAAAUCCUUAUAUGUGGAUUGCAGCAAAGGCCCUCAUGAUAUGGCCUUUGCCUCCACAUCUUCAUCCACCAGACCGGCUGCCCUUUCUUUCUCUGACACGCCAAACAUAUCACUGCUUUGAGCCUUUGCAGCACCCACUGUCCCCUGUCUGGAUAGUUUCCCGCCUAAUUAAGCACCUGUGGCUACAGUCCUGUCACUCAAGGGCCCUGGUGUCCUGUAGCCUGUGAGCAUUCAUUUUGCUCACUCCCAUUUUAAUUCUCUGUGCGGCUCUUACUCUUCUCUUGUUUUGUUUGUUUGUUUCACUUGCUUGUUUAUAAUUUGUUUUAUUUUGGACUUUCCCCAAAGCAGAUACUAAGAUAAAGAUUUAGGUGUGGGGAGUGUGCUUGGAAGAUGCGGCCAGAAAGCGGGAACAUGAGAUAGUACGGUGCUAAGUCCAUGGAUGGGAGUUACCAGCCACACUACUAUACUCCAGGAACUGGAUCUCACCAGAACCUCCAAGAAACAUACAGAGUAUUACCAGAAAGAUGGGGCAUUAAAACUGUCAUCGACCACCCCCCACACCCCCACACCCCUUUAACUCCCCUGACCCCCAGGGUCAUGCUUGCCUAAGGUUCACUGCAUUUCUGCACUGGAGAAGGUUCUGGCAACCAUCCGGGAAUCGGAGCAUUUGCCACCACUGUGAUUGAACUCAGAUGUGGACUAAGCGUGUUCUGUGUUAAGGACCAGUGCCUGCUUUGUGAUCCAUUUCUUCUAUUUACUGCAAGUUCACAUGUGGGGACACUUUUGGCAGUGUUCACUGAUGAUCCCAAGAGCUUCGUGCAGGCCUGGCACACAGUAGGUGUCAAUGAAUGGACUUAACCCUUUCAUUGGUUCAGCACUGCUGUCUUCCUUGUCUUUACAUGAGGCCAUGCUUUCCUGCAGCCGUGCAGAUCAC